UCAACCUUCAAGCCCCCGGCUUGGUGUUGGAGCCCGGCCCAGCUCACGCUGCGGCCGCUCCCAAAGACAAUGACGGCGUCCACGAGCGACCCCCGGUACACUGAGCUUUUCAUCGAGCACGUAUCGGAUUGGGCCUCGCGGGCACGGUCUGCCUCCCCUUAGGGAGAAUUUUUUACCA
rnacentral:misc_RNA from 1 species